CCACCACCAACCAAACUGUUUCACAUGUACUCCAAAGCUUGAAUACGCUGAAACUGAAUACAUUGAUGCAGAGAGAUGACAAUGUUACUCAACAAUAACCACUUUCUCCAAGGCCUUUCAGAAACAGUUCAAGCAUUUUGCCAGCUUAAAAAAAAAAUAAUAAAAAUGUCAGCCCAAGGCAAAGAACAAGCUUGGAAACUAAAGAACCUGAACAGUUAAAACUAGAAGCAACUCGACCAGGAACACAUAAUGGAAAACUGUAUGCAACCACCAUCGCUGCCAACUUCACAUACUUGAAGCUGGGUUCUCCUUGCAGGAGAUGAUUACACUUAGGAGUGAGAAACAAAGAGGGAUUAAGUGAGAUUCAUCUGCAUCAUUCAAACAAUGCUGAAUUUGGAGAUACUGUGUGAAAUUCCUUCUGCUGUCUGGGAUUUAAUCACCAAUGGAUUAGAUGAUAGAAACUAGAGUAUCUGAGUUCAUCAGCUUGACCUGGACAGCCCAGCACCAAAAAACAUAGGAAGAAACUGCUGGCAAGGAUUAAGGAUUCAGCCUGCUCUUUCCCCGUUGGUCUCCUGGUACCUGUCAUGGUUGUUGGGAUGGAAAGCACUGGUGGCAUCCUUGAAGACGGCCGAUUGCUCCAGAUGCUUUCAGGCCAGGCGUCUGUUAGAAAGUUUACAUGCAUCAGACCGGCUUUGAUCUGCCUCUGCCAGAAGAGCCAGGACUUGCCUCCACUGCAGGCAGUGACAGCAAAAGCAUGUCUUCUGGCUUUGAGCUGGGGACACGGUCAUCCUGGUCAUCCGCACGCUGUCUUCCUAAAGGCAGAUGGCACUUCUCUGGGGGGAGCUGCUGGCCAGCAGGUUUGCCUGGGAAGGAGCUCCUGCCCGGCCAGGGCAUUUGCAGGACAACCUGGCAGGAGCGGUCGGAGGAGCAACCCCUGGAGCACCCCCUCCAUCACUGAGCUUCCUCACAACUUCCAUUUGAUGGAAGAAAGCAACGUUUCAAAAGACACUGUAAUUAUUUCUUUCAUCCUGUUUUAAUCUUGCUUUUGGAAAUCUCUCACUGAAGAAUCGCUUUAGAGAAAUUCAAAUGAAAACAGUAACAGAGAAGUGCAGCCGGUGUUAUUUCACUGCGAUAAAGCCAAGCUGGAUGGCAGGUGCUUGGGGAAAUAUGAGGGAAAAUUGUUUAUAUCAGAACUCUUUUCUUUGAUAAGUUUUGUCUUCCAGUAAUAAAAACCUGGAUGCUCAUCUUGUAAAGCCUCCCUUUUUUUGCUACCAGAUGCUGGAGCUUGAAUUUUUGCCUACAUCAGUUUAACCCCUCUUUGUGCUCCUUUGCAUUUCCAAGCUGGACUUAACAGGCAAACAAACAUAACUUGGGAAAUGCCAGCUACACACAUUGCUCUCAACCGUAGGAUGGGCAAGCAGCAUCGCCUGAACAGGCAGACCCAGUAUUUAACGUACUACCAAAACAAAUAUGCCAAGGGGUUUUGCCAGCCAUCUGGAUCACAGAAACGGGAGGUGGAAAAGAGCAGGUAGGUUUUUACAGUGCAUUUUCCUGCCAAAGCAGGAUUGUUCCCUGCAAUAUCUUCUAGUGUACUUCCCUGGCCUGUUUUAAAUGACCUUGGAGAAUGGGGAGAGGCGGGAGGCAGGAAUCUGCUAGUACUCUCCAGAGUCUCUUUGUCUAGUUUGAAUAAUAUAAUGUGGAGCAAGGGCAAAUGGGUGUUCAGAGAAUUUAGCUACAACACAAUAUUUAAUGUAAUUUUUGCAUGCUUUUUCAUCUCCAACCUACUUGCUAUGCCUGCCACUGUGCCAGUAACAUCAGAUAGAUGUAAAAAAAAAAGAAAAGUAACAAAAAUAGUGGCAAUACUCCAUCUUUGGAUGAUUGCUCUUCUUUUUCUUAGCAGGAGAUUGUCUUGGGUGCUUUCUUCCCCUGCGAGGAAAAAUGAAUAGUGAGAGCUGUGAUGAUUGGCACUAAGCCUGAGAACAGCAGAUGUGAGCCUGCACAGCUGGACAAAGAAAAAAAUGCACUUUGCUCCCUACAUUUGUAUUAAGGUUGCCCCAGGGAUACGCCAGUGACUACGGAGGGGACUUAGCACAGGAACAGCCAAAGCCAUCAGGCACAUUUACAUAUAUAAGAACACUCGCUGUCCUUUUCAAAGUCAAAGAGAGCAACGAUUAAAGCAACAUAAAGGAAAUUUGGCUGCGUGGUUUUUCUCUCCAAUAAUAGAAUGACUGAGGGUGGAAAUAUUAAAAAAAAAUUAGGCCUGACAGAGGUGAUGAAUUUAUGAAUUAAACCAGCACAUUUUCAUUUCAUUUACUGUUGUCUACCAGUUUAUUACAUGGGAAUCUAAAAGGGACUUGAUUGCCUCCCAGGCUGCAGUCGUUAUGCCAGACACUAAAGUUAGAUGUUUUAGAUAAGAUUUUAAUAUUAAAGAUUCUUACACAAAAAGGAAGGAACCUUGCUAAAUAGGGAAAAUUAAAAAGCCUAAUUCCUCUCCAUGGUGCUUUAGCGUAGUUUUGCACUCCGGGGUUUGCCACAAUGUUUGCUGGGAUUUAUCAUCAAAAAAAGUGUGGGACAGGGCGUGUUUUAACUAAAACUAUUAAAAAACUCGGAAUUUCCUACACUGCAUAGCCUGCACAUCCUUAUUUCGAGUUGCAUCUACCAAGAACCCCGUUCUCCC